rnacentral:lncRNA from 1 species
UUUGGUUUUGAUUGACACAUAAUAAUUGUACACAUUUGUGGGAUACAAUGCGAUGUUUCAAUACAUGUGUAUGCUCUAUAUUAAUCAAAUCAGGGUAAUUAGCACAUUCAUUACCUCAAACGUUUAAAAAAUUGAAGUGAAAUUGAAGAAUUACUGAGUUCAAGAAUGUUACAGCCUUUAUAGAUUAUGAAAAAGAGUUAUUUCCCAGAAGGUCCCUCUGAAGUAAAAAACAAAACAAAACAAACAAAAAAUUAUAAACAAUCAACAAUUAAGUCAAAUGUUUUUGCUCUCCUGUUUCCCAAUCCCCUUUUCUACCUUUCCGUUUCCUGAUAAUGACUCCUAAAAUCAUUGCACGUGGGUGGAGCAGAGCAAGGUGGUCUUUAUACGUGUGUGCAUGUAUAUGCGGGAGGGGGAGAGGGACGCAUGACUACCCCUCAGAGAGUUAGAUCCCAGACAGUGUAAAGGGGAGAUUGUGGGGGAAGCAGGAGACAGUAAGGAUGUCAGAACGCCAGUGGGUUCAGCAGGGCAUCCUGGUGGGGGUUGGACUGUCCCAAAGUCUCAAAGCCUGAGCUAGAGUGAGGAGGACGCCCAUACGUGGGGGUGGUUGAGCAAAGGUGUCUGAGCCGAAGCAGGAGGACUAUCUAGGAGGGCCACAGGGCACCGGGCAGGGUGAGGUGGAUGUCCACACAGGUCAUUCAGCACAGGAUGGAGAGGUAGAGCCUGAGCGGGUCAGCAUAUAUGUCGUGCAACCAACUUUAAAAUUUCGCACGGUUUACUCUUGGGUAUCUUAGAAUUGUAUUGCCAUUGUAAG